rnacentral:rRNA from 1 species
ACGGGUGAGUAACGCGUGGGAACAUGCCCUUCAGUUCGGAAUAACCCAGGGAAACUUGGGCUAAUACCGGAUACGUGCGAGAGCAGAAAGAUUUAUCGCUGAAGGAGUGGCCCGCGUCUGAUUAGCUGGUUGGUGAGGUAAAGGCUCACCAAGGCGACGAUCAGUAGCUGGUCUGAGAGGAUGAUCAGCCACACUGGGACUGAGACACGGCCCAG